CAUACCUGGAUUAAAAAAAUACACACUGGAACACAAUCAGUCAUGGAUUGGCCUCCCCAGAGUCCAGACCGCAGCAUUAUUGAAGCAGUGUGGAAUCAUCUUCACAGAAAACAGAACAAAAGGAGGCCAGCAUGCAAAGAAAAUCAUUGACUGUCCUUCAAGAAGCCCGGAAAACUAUUCCUGAAGACUAUUUAAAGAAAGUACAAGGAAGCUUCCCAGGGAGAGUGUUGAAGAAUAAAGCACAGACUUUUCAGAGAGAGUUUCACUUGUAGAAAUGUCAACGAUCACAUGAAGCACUACCAGAGGAAGAAGCAUAUUGUGUGCCUUUCUACUAUGUUCAAGUUCUGUUUGUGUGUCUGGUCCUUUUUUUUUCAAACAAAAAUGAGAUGGACAAAGUUUCCCACAAAACCCUGCUGCCUGGUUCCUGGCUCGCCGUGCCUGCUGAAGAGCUCCCUCUCUAAAGCACUCAGUUUCAGGCUCAGACCCAAACGGGUGCCCUGAAUUUCAGCUCCGUCGCCCUCUCUGCCAGGAACAACGGACGACGAAUCCUGGAAAGUUUUACCUCCUUAGUGUUGACACCUCACUUUUCCAGUCCAAAUGGGACAAUGACAGCUUGUGUAGGGCAGUUCACACAGAGACACACCACGGGUCAGCUUUGCUGGUUGGAGGACAGGAUGGUGGAUCAUAGAAAUGUGAUGACAAAGCUGAAAAAUUAUUUAGGAGGCAGACAAGAGAUUGAAGAUGCUGACGUUUAUUCAGGAAGACGUCAUAAGAAAAGCAUGUGUUACUUGGAUGGGGGUAAACGACAAAUCCGCUGCAGGUAUUAAUGCAGUAGAAAAUGUUAUGAAAAUAUUGUGAGGCCAAGUUUUAGAAGCACACAGAUAAUUUUUCAUUUAAAGUACAAAAUAAACAUUUGUUAUGAAAAUAAAAGAGUUAAGAAAUGAGCACAUGUGCUACAAGAGUACAGAAGUUUAGUCUUUAUCUACUCUUCCCUGAAAGCAGACGGUGCCUGAGGCCUUCAGAGAAGCAAAACAGAAGACACAAGGUCAGGUUAUCUAGCUCCAACUCCACCUACCCUGACCCUUAAAGAUCCGAGCAAAAACUGAGAGAGCUCAGCGAACAAAAACGACCCACUCUGAAAAAAUCCCUCACUUUAAGAACUCUGGACGUUCCCUUGCAUGCAUCUGUCAGCACUUUGUGUUUGAAAACACAAUAAAAGGCUUGAAAAGGGAAGAAAGGAGCAAAGUCUGACUGAAUAUUAUGUUCUUAUUUUUGAAGGCUUCUUUGUUUUUCUUCUUUCUUGGCCACCCAACAUUUGUGGUUCAAAUUUGUGACAACCUUAAACAGCACUGUGGAAGAAAAUGUAAAGUCUGCGAGUGUGGAAGUAGAGGCCACAGUUUUAAUCAGUAAAGACCAAAGUAUUUGUUGGGCACGCAUUUCCACCCCAUCGGCCCUGACAAUAAAAAUCAGGAUGCGAGACUCAGCCGCAUGCGAGUCUCGCUGCAUGCCUGUGUGCGAGAAACCACAACGACAGCAGAACUUGUGUUUCCUAUGAAACGUGUGUAUAAAAAUGUGAAAGUUCAUGUCGUUUCUGAAGAAAAGGGGAUAGGCAACAAAGAUAAUUAUAUAUGCAUGUUUGUCUACAUAUUACAUGAGUCUUGGAUGCACUUUUUUAGGAAAAAGCAGUACGAAGAGAAGAGGGUAGAGGGGUAAGGAACAAAGGUGGGUUUUGAAAAAGGAGUUAAAGUCAGCGACUGAGACAUUUGCUCAAGAUUUUCCUCUCUUCCCUUCCAGAAGCUAAAGAAACUAUCCUGUGUGAGUUCCAUCUUUUUUUACGACUCGUAGAUGAGGGAAAUACUUUUUGGCAUACUCAAACUUUUACAGAGCAAAAGUAGGCCACAUUUAGAGUCAUCCUCUCAUAAAUUUGGAGACUUCUGUUUUUAAAGGCUGGCAAUGUCAACGUCACAAAUGAGACCAAUCCUGUUUGUGUGCUUAUACUUUUUGCUCUGAUGAAUCCAAAUCAUCCUUGCUUUAGUACAUAAUCUGUUACAAAAACCCUGUAAGUCUGCUGUUGAAGUUAUAGUCCAUGCAACAGUACAUUAGAGUCAUGCCACAGCAGUGGGUAAUAACCCCCUGAUGCACUUUCAGAGUUCAAAUCAAAUGACAAAUGACAUUUUCAUUUUUACUGGUCUGUUGAGUAACUCUUUCAGUUGGCAAAUUCUGAUCUGAAAAAUAGCUAAUUCAGAAAAAACCAAAACUUUUCCUGAUUCUAGUCUCAGCGGCAAGUCUGGUCAAUGUGUGCUUGAAAUCAUAAUGUCCACUGAAAACUGCAUAUGAGACAGCUGCCAGGAAAAGGAUGACAUAUCUCGAAUGUGACAUUCCCACCGGCAAAGUGGUCAGUCCUACUCAAUGAGACAAGGAGGGGAGACAUUUUUAUAUGAUAAAGCAGCUGGAAGCCAUUUGUACAGAAACUACAUCAGCUUUUUUUUUGGAAUGUACUUUAAACUUUGUAGAUAAAUGCUUAUAAUUCAAAAUUGUAAAUGUUUCACAGCCUUGUCUGCAAUCUCUUAUGCAUUAAUUGACUUCAAGCACUUAAUUAUCAAGCAUCUCUAAAUAUAUAUACAGUGUAUAUUUUCUGUAUAUUUCAUUUGUGAAAUAGGAAAUGAGUGCAAUUUUAUUGUAUAUAAAGCAAGAACAGAGUUGGUACAUUUCAAUUCUAUUAAAAGUUCAUAUUUGGUGUGAUCACCUUUAGUCUUUAAAGUGGUCUGAACUCUC